GACGAACGCUGGCGGCGUGCCUAAUACAUGCAAGUCGAGCGAAUCAGAUGGGAGCUUGCUCCCGGAUGAUUAGCAGCGGACGGGUGAGUAACACGUGGGCAACCUGCCCGUAAGAUUGGGAUAACUCCGGGAAACCGGUGCUAAUACCGAAUAGUUUCUGACACCUCAUGGUGUCAGAGGGAAAGUUGGCUUCGGCUAACACUUACGGAUGGGCCCGCGGCGCAUUAGCUAGUUGGUGAGGUAACGGCUCACCAAGGCGACGAUGCGUAGCCGACCUGAGAGGGUGAUCGGCCACACUGGGACUGAGACACGGCCCAGACUCCUACGGGAGGCAGCAGUAGGGAAUCUUCCGCAAUGGACGAAAGUCUGACGGAGCAACGCCGCGUGAGCGAAGAAGGCCUUCGGGUCGUAAAGCUCUGUUGUCAGGGAAGAACAAGUGCCAUUCGAACAGGUUGGCACCUUGACGGUACCUGGCCAGAAAGCCACGGCUAACUACGUGCCAGCCGCCGCGGUAACAC
rnacentral:rRNA from 1 species